rnacentral:rRNA from 1 species
AUUGAACGCUGGCGGCAGGCCUAACACAUGCAAGUCGAACGAGUGGCGGACGGGUGAGUAAUGUCUGGGAAACUGCCUGAUGGAGGGGGAUAACUACUGGAAACGGUAGCUAAUACCGCAUACCAUCGGAUGUGCCCAGAUGGGAUUAGCUAGUAGGUGGGGUAAAGGCUCACCUAGGCGACGAUCCCUAGCUGGUCGGAGAGGAUGACCAGCCACACGGUAACUGGGACACGGUCCAGACGCCUACGGGAGGCAGCAGUGGGGAGUAUUGCACAAUGGGGGCAAGCCUGAUGCAGCCAUGCCGCGUGUAUGAAGAAGGCCUGCGGGUUGUAAAGCACUUUCAGCGGGGAGGCGUUACCCGCAGAAGAAGCACCGGCUAACUCCGUGCCAGCCGCCGCGGUAAUUC